UAAAAUGACUCUCGGCAACGGAUAUCUCGGCUCUCGCAUCGAUGAAGAACGUAGCGAAAUGCGAUACUUGGUGUGAAUUGCAGAAUCCCGUGAACCAUCGAGUCUUUGAACGCAAGUUGCGCCCGAAGCCUUCUGGCCGAGGGCACGUCUGCCUGGGCGUCACGC
rnacentral:rRNA from 1 species